CUAGCCGUAAACGAUGGAUACUAGGCGUUGUGAGUAUCGACCCUCACAGUGUCGUAGCUAACGCGUUAAGUAUCCCGCCUGGGGAGUACGCGCGCAAGCGUGAAACUCAAAGGAAUUGACGGGGGCCCGCACAAGCGGUGGAGUAUGUGGUUUAAUUCGAUGCAACGCGAAGAACCUUACCAGGACUUGACAUGUCGCGAAUCUCAGGGAAACUUGAGAGCGCCUUCGGGAGCGCGAACACAGGUGGUGC
rnacentral:rRNA from 1 species